CCAACUACCCGCACCUGAGGGGAAUCAUCGUUUGGAGCAGUAUAUAAUCAGCAGACAGCCAACACUUCCUUGCCAGAGUGUUUGCCAGUUUUGGAAUCCUUUGGAGCCCACCAGUCCAGAAGWAUCCAUCUGUGACGCCUCUGCUGCCGACUCAGCUGCUCCCCUGUGGGGACACACCUGACCUGCCACCCUCCAACGUCUGGUUCCUUCCCAACCUGCCUCCAUAGCUCUCUCCACUGCCUGGAACCCCGUUCCUCCAUCCAAUUGUCCAAACGCACCCGGACUCCGACCCGCUGACCUCCCUAGUCGGGCUACCUUGUUUGAUUUUUUGUAUUUUACAAUAAACACUCUUUUCA